rnacentral:rRNA from 1 species
AUUGAACGCUGGCGGAAUGCUUUACACAUGCAAGUCGAACGGCAGCACGGGGCAACCUGGUGGCGAGUGGCGAACGGGUGAGUAAUACAUCGGAACGUGCCCAAUCGUGGGGGAUAACGUAGCGAAAGUUACGCUAAUACCGCAUACGAUCUACGGAUGAAAGCGGGGGAUCGCAAGACCUCGCGCGAAUGGAGCGGCCGAUGUCAGAUUAGGUAGUUGGUGGGGUAAAGGCUCACCAAGCCGACGAUCUGUAGCUGGUCUGAGAGGACGACCAGCCACACUGGGACUGAGACACGGCCCAGACUCCUACGGGAGGCAGCAGUGGGGAAUUUUGGACAAUGGGCGCAAGCCUGAUCCAGCCAUUCCGCGUGCAGGAUGAAGGCCUUCGGGUUGUAAACUGCUUUGUACGGAACGAAACGGUUCGUCUCUAAUACAGGGGCGUAAUGACGGUACCGUAAGAAUAAGACACCGGCUAACUAACGUGCCAGCAGCCGCGGUAAACACGAG